ensembl:snRNA U6 U6 spliceosomal RNA
GUGCUCACUUCAGCAGCACAUAUACUAAAACUGGAACAAAAUAGGGACGAUUAGCAUGGUCCCUAUGCAAAGAUGACACACAAUUUCAUGAAAAGUCCAUGUUUUUA